rnacentral:rRNA from 1 species
AACGAACGCUGGCGGCAGGCUUAACACAUGCAAGUCGAGCGCCCCGCAAGGGGAGCGGCAGACGGGUGAGUAACGCGUGGGAAUCUACCCAUCUCUACGGAAUAACGCAUGGAAACGUGUGCUAAUACCGUAUACGUCCUUCGGGAGAAAGAUUUAUCGGAGAUGGAUGAGCCCGCGUUGGAUUAGCUAGUUGGUGGGGUAAAGGCCUACCAAGGCGACGAUCCAUAGCUGGUCUGAGAGGAUGAUCAGCCACACUGGGACUGAGACACGGCCCAGCGUCCUACGGGGGGCAGCAGUGGGGAAUAUUGGACAAUGGGCGCAAGCCUGAUCCAGCCAUGCCGCGUGAGUGAUGAAGGCCCUAGGGUUGUAAAGCUCUUUCACCGGUGAAGAUAAUGACGGUAACCGGAGAAGAAGCCCCGGCUAACUUCGUGCCAGCCGCCGCCGUAAUAC